rnacentral:rRNA from 1 species
UACGGGGGGGCAAGCGUUGUUCGGAAUUACUGGGCGUAAAGGGGUUGUAGGUGGCUUGCUAAGUCAGACGUGAAAUCCCUCAGCUUAACUGGGGAACUGCGUCUGAGACUGGCAAGCUUGAGUGCAGGAGAGGAAAGCGGAAUUCCACGUGUAGCGGUGAAAUGCGUAGAGAUGUGGAGGAACACCAGUGGCGAAGGCGGCUUUCUGGUCUGUAACUGACGCUGAGGCGCGAAAGCGUGGGGAGCAAACAGG